rnacentral:rRNA from 1 species
GAUACCCGGGUAGUCCAUGCCGUAAACGUUGGGCGCUAGGUGUGGGGUCCAUUCCACGGAUUCCGUGCCGCAGCUAACGCAUUAAGCGCCCCGCCUGGGGAGUACGGCCGCAAGGCUAAAACUCAAAGGAAUUGACGGGGGCCCGCACAAGCGGCGAAGCAUGCGGAUUAAUUCGAUGCAACGCGAAGAACCUUACCAAGGCUUGACAUGCGCGGUGGAAUCCCAGAGAUGGGGUGUCAUUUAGUUGGUCGCGUACAGGUGGUGCAUGGUUGUCGUCAGCUCGUGUCGUGAGAUGUUGGGUUAAGUCCCGCAACGAGCGCAACCCUCGUUCCAUGUUGCCAGCACGUAAUGGUGGGGACUCAUGGGAGACUGCCGGGGUCAACUCGGAGGAAGGUGGGGAUGACGUCAAAUCAUCAUGCCCCUUAUGUCUUGGGCUUCACGCAUGCUACAAUGGCCAGUACAGAGGGCUGCGAUACCGUGAGGUGGAGCGAAUCCCAAAAAGCUGGUCUCAGUUCGGAUCGGGGUCUGCAACUCGACCCCGUGAAGUCGGAGUCGCUAGUAAUCGCAGAUCAGCAACGCUGCGGUGAAUACGUUUCCCGGGCCUUGUACACACCGCCCGUCACGUCAUG